AAAACCUGAUGUGGCAUAUCUCUUUCUUCAAGGAUUACAUUUAUCUUUUUCCUCGUAUUCUUAAUAUUUUUCACAUUUUUUCCAUUUAUGCGUAUAUUAAGAACCCCAAAAGUCAUAUUUUGCAAUCACUGAAAAGUCACGUCUUUAGAAUUACAGUCAUUCCCUUCAUCUUCUUUCUCACAUUCGUUGCUUCUUGAUCUCUGUCGCCUUCUUCCUCUCCUUUUCUUCUCGUCGGUCCCUUCGACUGCUUCUCCACCGUGGAAUGCUUGGCUGCUCGUGCUUUUCACCGCCAUUACAGAGAGAAAAGGAUUCGGAAAGCAAAGUAGCAAAUUCAGAAUGGGUUCAUGGCCAUUCCGAAUCCAUUAGUCUAAUUGCUCAUUAUCUGCAGGUAUAUAGUAGUGAGCAUAAAAACAAGUGGGAUCGAAAUCCCUUGUAACGGUAAGGCCUUAUUAACUUGGCUAAUCGUUUCUAUCUUUAAACCCUAUUUCCAUUCUCUAUUUAUUUACUUUGUUGGAUUCUAUCUACAUUAAUCAUAAGCGAAGUCUUGAUUUCUGACUCAAAAGUUAAUAAAGUUAUUUUCCGAUAGAACUUAUUUGAAGAUAUGAUCUUUCAAGAUUCAAGCACAGGUAUGAGAUUGUGGCUUCUGUGUAAGCCUACUUUUGGAUGAGAAUAGAAGCAGAGUGAAAGCAAUUUCUUGAUAAAAAAUUAAUCUGAUUAAGAUUAUGGUGCAUACCGGAAGAAGGCUAGAUUUUGAGUCCAAGAUGGACAUGAGUAUGACUAUUAAGGUUUAAUACAUGAGCAAAUCAAUAAAGCCAGAGUGAAAUUACUGCGGAAAUCUAAGAGUAAUUAUACAGUACUUUCUUGCAUUUCACUGUUAAUACUCUCUUUACUUUCUGGUUCUUUUAUUUAUUCUCUCCUUGGGAAAUUUUUGAAGUAUUACAAAAUCUAUCACAUAGCUUUUGAAGAGAUAAAGCAGAUUUUCUGUAUCAUGGUGGUGAAGACCAUCAGCUUUCUGACUUGAUGAAUGUUUCCUUAAACUUUGGAAGGUUAGUAUCAUACAUUAUAAAAAUAUGGCAUUUUCUCCUGAUUUACCAAGACAAGAUCUCAUCUUUUUCCACUCAUUGUUUGGUUCUUUUUCCCUUUCUUAUAGGAAUAGCUUUAUUUAUUUAGUGUGCUAAUAAAUAAAAUCAAUGAAUAGUUGUAAGAUGACGAUGUAGAGUAGAAGAGUUAUCAAAAAGUUAGCAACCAUUAGAUUCUACGUACCAUCUUUUGCCUGCAAUGAAAUUUCAGAGAAUGCUCUUGAACGUAUGUAUAUUCUUGGUUUUAAGCUUAAAUUCUUUUUCUUUGGAUUUAAUUGUUUAAGCAUCUAUAGUUUUUUUUUUCCCUAAUAGGUUUAUUUUGUUCUUCUUUUCGGAUUGCCUAGGUCCUCUAUCUGAAAUAGCAGAAAAAAUUGAUGCUUGCUGACGUUGCCUCAAUUUGGUCGUAGAUUUACAAUUUAUUCUAUACUUUCACUGAUGAUUGUGUUUGGAAAAUGCAUGGUGACCAAUGAAAAUAGUGCUAGAAAAUUUAAUGCUCUUGGGCUCCAGAAAUCACACCAUAUAUUAGUGAAGCAUAAUUCUAUGUCAGUAUGUUCUCUCAUCCACACUUAUAUACUGAUUAAAUUGCAGGCUUACUUUCUAUAGUACUAUCUUGGUGUUCCUAAAGAAAAUUAUUGUAUAAUUAUAAACAUCUAUUUGUUAGUAAUAAUAGAAAAAAGUGGGAGGACUCUCCGUCAUCAGAGUCCCAUUUCCCACCAAUAUCCUUUGAGGAGAACGUGUCAGAAAUAUGUUAAAUGUUGUCUAAUUUUUGCUGAUAAAUAGUACUAUAUGUUAUUUUUUGAGUCAUACUUUAUCCUUUAGUUUAUCAUUUCCGUUAAAUAUUCAGGGAUAUAACAUUUAAUUAUUAGAUUUUGAUUAAUUUUGAUCUGGAGUUUCGAUGUACUAUUAUGUGAUUCUUUGCUAUUGGAUCCUUCUAUACCUGACAAGUUUUACUGAUUUCUUCCUUUUUUUAAAGAAAAGAAAAGAAAAGAAAAGAAAAUGAGAGCAUUACAAUCUCAACAUCCUAGGUACUAUUCUCAUUAAUCUUUUCCCUUUAAUCAAUUAUUCCUUAAUUUUUUAUUUUUGUAUCAAUUUUUAAAGUUAAAGCUAUAAUUUGAAUGAAAUCUUUCUUUAGUUUGUAUGAUCCAUAUAUAUUUUUUAUUUAUUUUGCAUAAUCAUUGUCAAUCUCUUUGACGAAUAAACAUAUUUAUCUCUUUUUUUUCUUUUCCUAUUUUCCCUUUUACCUAUUUUUUUUAUGUGUUAAGAAGUCCAAAAGUUGCCUCAUUGAUCCCCUAAAUCAUUACACCUUAAAUGACUUUGACAGUUUUUAUAUGGACUUUCAUUUUUCCUUUUUUUGAAGUAGCCUUUUGAGCUUUCUUUGCCAACAUUGUUGCCUCUCACUUUUGUUAAAGACACUUUAUUAAUAAUAUGUUGUAUUUACAAAUGUAUUGCUUCAAAUCAGGCAGUUCUGCUCUUCAAGCUGAAAAUACAAAGAUCAACGGUCACAAAUUUCACAGCCACAAGAAAGAAAGUCAGGGUCUAUUCCAUAAAUCCAUAUAGGCGAUGCUGGAGAAACUCUAAGGUUUAUAAAAUAGUCAGUGCUUUUUGUAGCAGAAAUGGUUAACGUGUAUGCAAAUAUAUGGGGACUUUAUGUAAUAUAUUUGUCAUGGUGGUGAAUUUUGCUACUCCCUCUGGCAUGUUAUGAAUAUUUAACUUGUAUGCAAAUGCAAUAAUAGAUGUUUUUUUAUUAUUAUUAUGAGUUUUGAGUUGUGCCUAUUUAGUAGUACUAUUAAUUUUCCUCUGGCCUGGC
rnacentral:lncRNA from 1 species